ACAUGCCUGUGUGUGCAGGGCUCAGAAGUACUUCUACACAGUGAAGCAAAUUUGCUUCACUUGCAAAACCAGAUUUUGCCAAACAUUCUAGUGUUUAUAGUGGCCACAGACAGCCUGAGAAGAAGUCUGCAACUCUGAAAGAACAGAGAAUGGAUCUUAGAGCAGCUUUAGAUUUAGCCUGAGAAAUAUCCUGGUGCAGUUGCACUGCCCUGCUUGCUGGCAGCCAGGAAGAGGAGAAUGUCCACACUCUGACUCCUCAGAUGCUGCUUUGCAGUCUGUAAUACGAACAGUUGGCACAGGAGAUCCGCAGCAUUUUUCAUCCACAUGCACGUAUACAACAGAGCAAACCCAGCACACGGAAGAACUAAACUACAGCAUCUGAUCAAGAUUUGUUAAUGCCAGACACACCUUUUCUUGCCUCCUUAUGACAGAAAUGUGUGUCUCCCUGAGGACAUUCUGCAGAGAUUUGAGAGAUCUAUGUCCAGAGGCACUGAAACUCCAGUUGGCUGCUACUUUAUUUCCAGCAUCUCCAUGGUGGAUUCUAACCAUCAGCUCACAAACUUCUGUUUAUACAUAAGGAGGAAAACGCAGUACUGGGCAGGCAAAACCGAGGAGAAUGUAACCAGUCUUUAAGGCAUGGAAAUUCACUGACUGAAAAUCCACAGUACUGAAAUCACAAAUAUUAGAGAAUGGAGACUUUUAAGGAAAAAGUGACGGACUAUUAAAAAGAACUCCUUCUCAAUCAGUUUGCGGUUCCCUCAUUAUAAACAAAACGUCACAAACCAUGAAAUCCUGUAGGCGAAUAGCAGAGGUACUGGCACAGUUACUGAUAGAGAAGAGAGGAAAGGAAGCAUGUCUAUGCAGUUUUUAUUACUCAUUUAGAAGGCUUUUCUUAGUGCAAAUGAAGCGUUUGCUCACAGCAGUUCAUAUUCUCUCCGCACUUUUGUUUUUAAUGGCACUAUUGGAGCAGGGGAAGGUGACCUCCAGGAAACAGCACGCAGGGAGCCACCAGUGGGUCAGGCUCUUCUCACAAAUAACAUCUCCUACUGCAGGGAGCCUAACAGCGAUUCUUCAUACUUUACUGGAGCUCUGAGCUCAACCUUUGACUCCUCCUUUGUGACCACAGACCUGCAUUCUGCCUCACCUCAGCACCAAGAAAACAUUUUCUUUUUCCCUUCUCUUUUUUUCUGGUUUACUUAGAAAGCUAUGUAUUACCCAAAGCAAGUUUUUGUUCACAUGAUAUAACCAGCUCUUCAGGCAUUGCUAUGAUACUGUAUGUGCCCACUGGAAUAAGAAUGAAGAAAUGGUAAGAAAACAAAAAUGACAAAGUGAUAAGGACAAAUAAAGAAGAAGAAAUCUCAGCAUGUUAUGUAACAUAAGACUGCCUAUUUUCACAGCAUCUUAAGUUUUAAGAUGAGAUUUUAGAUUUUGAAAUACUUAGGAGCAGAAGUGACCACAGAAUCAUAGAAUCACAGAACUACAGGGAUCAGAACGGACCUCAAGAGAUCAUCAAGUCCAACCACUCAAUGACAUCUCUCUUUGUGACAGCAAUUCUUUCUUUGCAGGAGCCAAUCUAUGGUGGAUGACACAACCCCAGCUACAGCAGAUGAAUGAUGAAAGUACGUAUCCACAGCCACAAAGAAGCCCUUUCCUCCUGAUUUCCACCAGUACUUGUUAGUAGAAGGGGAACUGGAAAGCAAGGACACAGAAAUUGAGCUGAAAGCUUCCUUCAGCCAGUAUCACAAGAAAUGCUUAGGAAAACUCCUGAUUUGACCCUUGGCACCAAACUACCAUUCCCAGGGACUGCUGAACACAGAAUAAUACUUCAGUGCUCUCAGUUUCUCUUUGGGAAAUCCUGUGCAAGGCACUGUGACUCGCAAAUGGCUGAGCUGUAUGGGGGGAGUGAGAGUCUCCACCAACACCAGAAACAAACACGUCACAGAUGGAAUCAACAGUGAAACCUGAAAAGAAUGUUCAAAUGCAUCACUUAUCCUAGUACUUAACACUACUUAACAAAGCUACAAGAAAGUCAUACCACAACAACUUGCUUUCAUCAGCAUCAACUAUGAAAACCCAGUGGUAGAUAGCCAAGGACUACGAUCCCCUUUUUUUUCUAUCUUCUGUCAUGAAACUUAGACUGCCACGCCUUCUCUUGGGUAACUCUUCAAUCUACAGGCAGUAUGGUUUGCUCCCACUCUCUUGGAGGGUAUGGAGGGAUUGUGAAAAUUGAUUGGAUAAAAAACCAAGGAAAUCUCUUCCAUAUCCAUAAAAAUGUACAAUCAUUUCUGUGAAGGAAGAAUUGAAAAAGUGAAAAGGAUUUUGGACAUUCUAUGAAAGUUUCCUGUAGGUCAUUUCCACAUCUGGGAAUCUCUCCUUGCAGCCACAGAAGAGACAAACCAAAUCUUGCUGUUAACAUGCAAUGAGAAACUCCUUGGGAAUAACCAUCCAGAACUGUGUAUUUCCAAGCAGGCCAUACUCUCACUUUGCAACAAAUCUUGCGGAGGAUUUAAAACAAAAAUAAAAAAAGAAAUUAAAAAAAAAACGUAAAUGCUUAUUUCCUUAUUGGAUGUAAAGUUUUUUUUCUUUAAAAAUGCUGAGCAAUUAUUUUACAGAGAUGUUUUUUUUUUUUUUUUCGUCUCAGAAAGGGACAGGAAAAGAGAAAAACCCCAGGAUGGAAGCCCUAAGGAAAACUGUGGCCAUGCUAAGAUGUGUUUUGAGAACUCUGUUGUCAUGUGAAGUCCCAGACAACGUGCAGCUGAGGUCCCCACCCAGAUGUGAAGGGGGCCUAGCUAGAAGCUUCUUUUUGUUACUGAUAUGAGGGAAUUUCUUAGAAAUCCCUAUUCCGCAGCAUGGGGGCUUGGACCACAGCCGGUCCAUGGCUUCUAAAACAGAAGGAAAAAAUCUCUGAAGCCUCCGGAGUUCCAGUGGGAAGGACAAAUCUCAGUCCUUUCCAACUGCAAUGAAGGUGGCUGAAGCCAUGUUACAGCACAAAGUGGUGGGGAAAAAUUACAGAGCCUCCCCUGCUUCCACAAGGUUGGUUUUUUUUGGUUUUUUUUUUUCCACUGCUUCCUGAAAGAAGUUCCACAAACGUCACAUCUGAUGUGGAGUUUGUACUACGUGUGGACAUUGGGUACACAGCAAACAAAGAGAAAAGGGAAUCAAACCCCAUUUUUCUCAAGUGGUUCCAUUUUUCCUUCCUGUUCCCAAAGCCUUAAAUUGCUUGUGAUUUUAUUUAGGGACACAUUUGCAAUGUGGGCAAACAGUGUCUUUUCAGUUUUCCUCAAAUUGCAUUCACUAGCGGUCCCUUUUUUUGUUAUUAUUUUUUUCCUCUUUUUUUCCUCCUCCUCAAAGACCAGCAAAUGAUAUUGCUCACAAUCAUCCUCAAAGAGAACAAAGUCUUCAGCCUUCAGCUUUAUAACCAUACUCUAAUGUACUGAAGAAAAGAAGACCCUGAAGCUAAUGCCCUGCAUGAGAUAUUUGUCCCAAAAUCAGACAUCAAUGAGGGCGAAACACAAAGA